CACCCCCACAGCAACACACAACUGUCACACACACACUGUACAUAUACACAAGCACACCCCCACACAACACACAACUGCCACACACACACACUGUAAUAUACACAAGCACACUCCCACAGCAACAUGUACUUACAAACACAAAGAAAUGGAGGCUUGGAGGGCCUCGACUGAGGAAAGGAGCGUGAAAGGGAAAUGUAUUGAAGAAGUGGGUGGAGCAGUGGUUCUUACCAUUCAGGGAACCUUGGCAUUAUGGGUAACUCACUAGAACACCCAUACUGUCCCCUGUGUGCUCACCCUCAGGGUGAGGUGCUGGGAUUGCCAUUCUUAACAGUUUCUUUGGGUGGCUGUUGGGAUUGGGGACCUUUGGAGUUUUACUAUUUCUGUUUUGACCCCAUAUCUGUAAUUUGGUAGUCGGGGAUCACAAUUUUACAAAACAUUUGUACUCUAGGCUCAAUCACACACAAAACAGAGAUAAUGGUAAUUUAAUGGGUGUAAGGCUGAGCUGAUGUUCACAAACAUAUCUAGUGUAACAUUAAUUUAUCUAAGCACUCAGUUUCCUUCUUUUUUAUUUUUUCUUGGCAAGAACAAGCAUUCUUUAUUGCCUCCAUGGUCCCUUGUUAAAUUUACAUAACUUAGGUAAAACUGUUAUUUCAUUUUUUGUAUUAGAUAUUUUCUUUAUUUACAUUUC
rnacentral:lncRNA from 1 species